GAUGUCGCCAGUCCGGCCCCGCGCUGGCAGAGCCCCGACAGGGGUGGCGGGUGCGGGCUGGGGCACCCAGGGAGGAUUCGCCUCCGGGGCGCUUCUGUCCGGCAGUGGGGGGCAGCCCCGGCGCCCUCGAGCAAGCCGAAGAGGGCACUGUGAGAAGCGUGGAGCAGGGACGGCCAUGCAGGCAGUCUGCAGAGCUAGUGGAUAGCAGAGAUAUGCCUCUACAGCGGGGAACGGGAGCUUCCCUCGAGGUGGGGGCUCCAGCCCCGUGCCCCGAGUGGGACGGGAGCAAGCUGGUGUCAGCGGAUCCCCCUGCCUCACCCAGCAGCAGUACUGACAUAUGGGAGCACUGUGUGUGAAGCACGGCUUCCUGUGAAGGCUACAGCAAGCCAAGGAAAGUUGCUGAGAUGUGGGUCCUGUUCUCAUAUCGAGGGGAUGUGUGUUUGGAAUGCUUGUUGGAACCGGGAGUGGGAAAGGGAAACGGGGAGAUACUGCAGGAAGAAGAUAGGGAGGUGAAGACAUGCUGAUCUCCUCCCUUCCUCUCCAUAUCUCCUUUUUUCCUUCUCCUUUUUCUACCUCUUAUCUCCACCUUUAAACUGCAAGUUCACAGAAUCUCAGUAUGGUAAGGCUGGAAGGGACCUCUGGAGAUCAUCCAGUCCAACCCUUGCUAAAGCAGGGGUACCCACAGCAGCUUCACAAUGUCCAGGUGGGAUUGGAAUCUCUCCAGAGAAGGACACUCCACAACCUCUCCGGGCAGCCUGUUCCAGGGCUCCAGCACCUUUGCACCAAAGGAUUUUUUUCUCCUGUUCAGGUGGAAACUCCUGGGUUCCAAUCUGUGACUGUUGGCCUUUGUCCUGGACACCACUGAAAAGAGUCUGGCCCCGUCCUCUUGACCCCUCCAAUUUCAGCUCUUGCUGAAAUCACAUCCUCAUUUAGGCUGCUCUUUUCCAGGCUCAACAGCCCCAGGGCUCUCAGCCUUUCUUCCUCACAGAGAUGCUCCACGCCCCUCGGCAUCUUCUUGGCUCCAUUAGUGACAUCUUCUCAGAGCAGCUGUUUGUGCUGUCACUAAAACACUAGUUUGUGGCCCCAGCUCUCACCAGCAUGUGCUAGAAUCAUGACUUUGAAGCAUGUCUGAUCCAGCAGAGACAGGCAGUGGAGACAAGCAGCAGCCUUGGAUGAUGGAAAGGUUAGCAUGUCCAGGCUUCCCCUAUCUCUCCAUAGCAUGAGGAGCUGAAGCUCUUGGGAUGGAGCUCCAAAGUGGAAGUGUAUGCCUCAACUUUUCACUUUGCCCUUUACUGCUCAGUUUGGAGAAAGAGGGCAGCCCAGGACCACAGGGGCUCACCUGCAACCUUCACAAGCCUUCUGAUUUCAGGUAGAAACAAGUUAUCAGUAAAAUUGCUUUGCUCUGGGCAUACAAAAAACAAAGGACUGUGGUAUCCAUCAAAGUGUCCGAAGCACGAAGGGCUGAAGCAUGGCUGCUGUUGGCUUGGCUGGGUGGGUCCUAUGCUGGGUCAAAAAUUGGCUGGAUGUCUGGGCCAAAACAGUGGUAAGGAAUGGAGUGAAAUCCAAAUGGUCACAAGGUUGUUCCUCAGGGAUCAGCACCAGGGCCAGUUCUCCUUAAUAUCUUUGUCAAGGGUCUGGAGAAGGUGGUUGAGGACACUCUCAGUAAGUUUGCAGAUGAUAUUAAGCUGGGAGGCAGUGUUAAUCUAAUAAGGGUAGGGAGGCUCUACAGAGCCUCUCUCCCUGAAGGUGUUUCAAAGAGAUGUGGUGCUGAGGGGCAUGGUUCAGCUCCAGCCUUGGCAAAGGUAGAGAAUGGUUGGGCUGGAUGACCUUAUAGGGCUUUAUCCAGCUGAAACAAUCCUAUGACUGUAUCACUGAUUUCCAGUCUUGGUGGGGACCCUGGAUUCACAGAAAAGUCAGCUGCCCUCUGAGGAGCCCAAGCUCUCCUUCCAACAGCUUGGUCUGUAAUUUUGACUGGAACUGUUGGUAAUAAUUGUUCUCAAACUUCUCUUAGCUCAGAAUGCAUUUGCUGAAGAGCAGUUUGUGGAAAUAAAUGCUUAGCACAACAGCUCACUGAGGCAAGCUGCACAGUUGUGUUUGAGGCAGCCAGAAUGCAGUCCAAUCGAUAAAUAAAGCCAGGGGAACUUGCCUCUUAUAUGCAAAAUAAAAUGCAAAGUAAGACACUCAAAACUCAUUAAUGUAUCUGCAGACAAUAAAUGCUUGUUAAGCAGUUCAGAGGAAGGACAGCUGAAGUGGGGCAGCAGCACCUUAGUACAGCCAGGAUCUGUGGAAGGAUCUUUUUGGGUAGAAGUCACUGAGUCCAUGAGACCUAUGCAGCACUGCUAAAGAGACAACUCCCUUUUUUCUUUUACAGACUACAGGAAAUGCCUCACUUCCCAAAUGGCAAAGUUGUUUCUUCAUUAGUGUCCUACAGCCUUGCUGGAUGAGCUGACUGAGGAAUAAUGGCUUGUGAAGGCGAGAAUUAACCAAACACUGCAGCAGGCUAUGUGAGGGGUGACCUUCUGGAAAGCAGCUCUAUGGAGAAGUACCUGGGAGUGCUGGUGGAAAAAUUCCCUGUGGGCCAGCAAUGUGCAUCGUGGCCAAGAGGGACAUUGGUCUCCUGUGGUGUGUGAAGAAGAGUGUGGUCAGCAGGUCAAGGGAGAUUCUCCUGCCCUUCUGUUCUGAUGUGGUGAGGACACAUUUGGAGUACUGGGUCCAGUUCUGGGCUACCCAGUUCAAGACAGACAGGGAACUACUGGAGAGUCUAGUGGAAGCUACAAAGAUGCUGAGGCAUCUGGAGCAUCUCUGUGAGGAGGAAAGGCUGAGAGCCCUGGGGCUGUUAAGCCUGGAAAAGUGCAGCCUGAAAGGGGAUCUGAUCAAUGCUCAGCAACAGCUGAAGUGUGGGGGGCAAGAGGAUAGCACCAGACUCUUCUUGGUGGUGCGCAGUCACAGGACAAGGUGCAGUGGGCACAAACUGGAACUCAGGAGGUUCUACCUGAACAGAAUGAGAAAAUUCUCUGGGGUGAGGGUGCUGGAACCCUGGAGCAGGCUGCCCAGAGUAAUUAUGGAGUCUCCCUCUCUGGAAAGACUCCAAACCCAGCUGGAUAUUGUGAUCGUGGGCAAACUGCUGUGGGUCCCCCUGCUUUAACAGGAGUGUCGGACUGGAUGAUCUCCAGAGGUCACUUCUAUCCCCCACCGUGCUGGGAUUCUGUGAUUCUACCUAAGUGUGAGGAAGGGAAACAAACUCAUGUGAAGCACUUGCAAGUGUGAUCUGUAGAGGAGCUCCAAACCACUUCAUAAGCCCUUAGAUACCAGCAGUACCUUGGGGAAUACUGGAGCAGAGGAUCAGCACAAGAAGAAGAGCAUCUGUGCUUCUGCUGUGGCAGCACAUGAGUGCUUAUCAGUUAAACUGGGGAAAGAUAGGAGCUCCCACAUCCAAAUUUACUUCUGGUCUGUAGUCAGACAAACCUGAGUUCUAACUGGGUGGAAUUUCCCGGGAGUAUGUGAACUAUAAAUUUAUCUUGAGCUGCUUACGCUUCCAUCUUAGGGUGAUCACAGGGAUUUUCACGACCAGUUAAAAGAACAAACAAGCAGAAAAGCAAGGUGUUUUACAAGGCAGUUUGUGAUCAUUCAUAUUGAGAAUAGGUCUCAAGAGCAGCUCUGGGAUCGUUUUGUGGCUUGUUUUCUACUCAAAUUAAUCCUUCAGAGUGAAACCAAAGGAGACCAUUUCAAUCCAGGAAGAAUUUUGCUGUGAAAGUGGCAAGUAAUUUUUAAAAGGGGACUAAAUUGAAUGUAUAACUGCAAUUUAGCAAUCAAUAUAAUGGAAUUUUCAGUGCAGCUGUAAUUGCUCCUCUGUUAAUUAAACAAGUUAUUUUAUAAA